AGACCCGAAACCCGGUGAUCUAGCCAUGGGCAGGUUGAAGGUUGGGUAACACUAACUGGAGGACCGAACCGACUAAUGUUGAAAAAUUAGCGGAUGACCUGUGGCUGGGGGUGAAAGGCCAAUCAAACCGGGAGAUAGCUGGUUCUCCCCGAAAGCUAUUUAGGUAGCGCCUCGUGAAUUCAUCUCCGGGGGUAGAGCACUGUUUCGGCUAGGGGGCCAUCCCGGCUUACCAACCCGAUGCAAACUGCGAAUACCGGAGAAUGUUAUCACGGGAGACACACGGCGGGUGCUAACGUCCGUCGUGAAGAGGGAAACAACCCAGACCGCCAGCUAAGGUCCCAAAGUCAUGGUUAAGUGGGAAACGAUGUGGGAAGGCCCAGACAGCCAGGAUGUUGGCUUAGAAGCAGCCAUCAUUUAAAGAAAGCGUAAUAGCUCACUGGUCGAGUCGGCCUGCGCGGAAGAUGUAACGGGGCUAAACCAUGCACCGAAGCUGCGGCAGCGACACUCAGGUGUUGUUGGGUAGGGGAGCGUUCUGUAAGCCUGUGAAGGUGGCCUGUGAGGGUUGCUGGAGGUAUCAGAAGUGCGAAUGCUGACAUAAGUAACGAUAAAGCGGGUGAAAAGCCCGCUCGCCGGAAGACCAAGGGUUCCUGUCCAACGUUAAUCGGGGCAGGGUGAGUCGACCCCUAAGGCGAGGCCGAAAGGCGUAGUCGAUGGGAAACGGGUUAAUAUUCCCGUACUUGGUGUUACUGCGAAGGGGGGACGGAGAAGGCUAUGUUGGCCGGGCGACGGUUGUCCCGGUUUAAGCGUGUAGGUGUGUGUUCCAGGUAAAUCCGGUUCACUUUAACACUGAGGCGUGAUGACGAGGCACUACGGUGCUGAAGCAACAAAUGCCCUGCUUCCAGGAAAAGCCUCUAAGCAUCAGGUAACAUCAAAUCGUACCCCAAACCGACACAGGUGGUCAGGUAGAGAAUACCAAGGCGCUUGAGAGAACUCGGGUGAAGGAACUAGGCAAAAUGGUGCCGUAACUUCGGGAGAAGGCACGCUGACACGUAGGUGAAGUGAUUUACUCACGGAGCUGAAGUCAGUCGAAGAUACCAGCUGGCUGCAACUGUUUAUUAAAAACACAGCACUGUGCAAACACGAAAGUGGACGUAUACGGUGUGACGCCUGCCCGGUGCCGGAAGGUUAAUUGAUGGGGUCAGCGCAAGCGAAGCUCCUGAUCGAAGCCCCGGUAAACGGCGGCCGUAACUAUAACGGUCCUAAGGUAGCGAAAUUCCUUGUCGGGUAAGUUCCGACCUGCACGAAUGGCGUAAUGAUGGCCAGGCUGUCUCCACCCGAGACUCAGUGAAAUUGAACUCGCUGUGAAGAUGCAGUGUACCCGCGGCAAGACGGAAAGACCCCGUGAACCUUUACUAUAGCUUGACACUGAACAUUGAGCCUUGAUGUGUAG
rnacentral:rRNA from 1 species